GGAAGCGUGGGAGAGUGGUUUAAUCCAGCGGUCUUGAAAACCGCCGAGGCUUCGCGGCCUCCGUGAGUUCGAAUCUCACCGCUUCCGCCA
rnacentral:tRNA from 2 species